rnacentral:rRNA from 1 species
AAUGAACGCUGGCGGCAUGCCUAACACAUGCAAGUCGAACGAAGGCUUCGGCCUUAGUGGCGCACGGGUGCGUAACGCGUGGGAAUCUGCCCUUGGGUUCGGAAUAACAGUUAGAAAUGACUGCUAAUACCGGAUGAUGACGUAAGUCCAAAGAUUUAUCGCCCAAGGAUGAGCCCGCGUAGGAUUAGCUAGUUGGCGGGGUAAAAGCCCACCAAGGCGACGAUCCUUAGCUGGUCUGAGAGGAUGAUCAGCCACACUGGGACUGAGACACGGCCCAGACUCCUACGGGAGGCAGCAGUGGGGAAUAUUGGACAAUGGGCGAAAGCCUGAUCCAGCAAUGCCGCGUGAGUGAUGAAGGCCUUAGGGUUGUAAAGCUCUUUUACCCGGGAUGAUAAUGACAGUACCGGGAGGAUAAGCUCCGGCUAACUUCGUGCCAGCCGCCGCAGUAAAAC